GUGCUCACUUUGGCAGCAUAUAUAUUAAAUUGGAACAGUAUAGAGAAGACUAGAAUGGUCCCUUGCAAGGAUGACGCAAAUUUAUGAAGCAUUCCAUAUUAAA